AGCGGUAGCACAGAGAGCUUGCUCUCGGGUGACGAGCGGCGGACGGGUGAGUAAUGUCUGGGAAACUGCCUGAUGGAGGGGGAUAACUACUGGAAACGGUAGCUAAUACCGCAUAAUGUCGCAAGACCAAAGUGGGGGACCUUCGGGCCUCAUGCCAUCAGAUGUGCCCAGAUGGGAUUAGCUAGUAGGUGGGGUAACGGCUCACCUAGGCGACGAUCCCUAGCUGGUCUGAGAGGAUGACCAGCCACACUGGAACUGAGACACGGUCCAGACUCCUACGGGAGGCAGCAGUGGGGAAUAUUGCACAAUGGGCGCAAGCCUGAUGCAGCCAUGCCGCGUGUGUGAAGAAGGCCUUCGGGUUGUAAAGCACUUUCAGCGGGGAGGAAGGCGUUAAGGUUAAUAACCUUGGCGAUUGACGUUACCCGCAGAAGAAGCACCGGCUAACUCCGUGCCAGCAGCCGCGGUAAUACGGAGGGUGCAAGCGUUAAUCGGAAUUACUGGGCGUAAAGCGCACGCAGGCGGUCUGUCAAGUCGGAUGUGAAAUCCCCGGGCUCAACCUGGGAACUGCAUUCGAAACUGGCAGGCUAGAGUCUUGUAGAGGGGGGUAGAAUUCCAGGUGUAGCGGUGAAAUGCGUAGAGAUCUGGAGGAAUACCGGUGGCGAAGGCGGCCCCCUGGACAAAGACUGACGCUCAGGUGCGAAAGCGUGGGGAGCAAACAGGAUUAGAUAGCCUGGUAGUCCACGCCGUAAACGAUGUCGAUUUGGAGGUUGUGCCCUUGAGGCGUGGCUUCCGG
rnacentral:rRNA from 1 species